UAGGGAAUCUUCGGCAAUGGACGAAAGUCUGACCGAGCAACGCCGCGUGAGUGAAGAAGGUGUUCGGAUCGUAAAACUCUGUUGUUAGAGAAGAACAAGGACGUUAGUAACUGAACGUCCCCUGACGGUAUCUAACCAGAAAGCCACGGCUAACUACGUGCCAGCAGCCGCGGUAAUACGUAGGUGGCAAGCGUUGUCCGGAUUUAUUGGGCGUAAAGCGAGCGCAGGCGGUUUCUUAAGUCUGAUGUGAAAGCCCCCGGCUCAACCGGGGAGGGUCAUUGGAAACUGGGAGACUUGAGUGCAGAAGAGGAGAGUAGAAUUCCAUGUGUAGCGGUGAAAUGCGUAGAUAUAUGGAGGAACACCAGUGGCGAAGGCGGCUCUCUGGUCUGUAACUGACGCUGAGGCUCGAAAGCGUGGGGAUCAAACAGG
rnacentral:rRNA from 1 species